rnacentral:misc_RNA from 1 species
GUGGACGGAAAGCCUUUGCCUGUGACAUCCAUUGCAGGGGAUGAUCAAGAAAAAACGAGAGUGUGAUUUAAAGCAAACUUUGAUACAAGGGAUUUAUGUGAGAAUUAAAAUAACCCAUAGAACUGGAGACAACCACCUUUCGAUAUAGAAAAAAGGAUGAGAAAAUCCAUGGAUUUUGAUGAAUCCUUCAAAAUCAAAGAUUUGACACCAGCCCAGUAGGUGGGAUUUUGUGAAAUACCUCUCCCUCAACGUACGAAUUUCAUUAAAUUAUUCAAUAUUUCACUUCAAUUCCAUGGGUUUAAAUUGUAUUAAGAAACAUGGAAGAUUGUCCAAAUCCUGGAUUUGAAAAUAUAGGCAGCUUCACCCAUGAAUUUGAACAAUUCCAUGAGUUGUAAAAAAACAUCAUCAAAAAUAAGUAUCUGAUAGGGGAAUCAUGCAACAAAAGAACUCUCAAAGGAUUAAAACCAGUGCAUAGCCUAGGCCUUACAAGUAAUUUGAUAGUUGAUACAAUAACCAACUAAAAAGUAAUUUCAUGUAUUCCACCCAAAGUACUGAAUGAUGGCAAUGAUAUCUUAAAUAACAUCAUAAUAUAAAAUAAUUAAUGUUGGAUAAAACCAGCUUAAAAUGAAUGAAAACAUUACAAGAAUAUAGCAAUUGAAGGGUAGGGUCACAGUAGCAUCUUCUGGGCAUAGACCAAUAUUUUGAAUUCUUAAAAUCAAAUAAAUGGUGAGAGCAGAUCAAGGAAAGCUGGCUACAUCCUCCUUCAUUCCUUUUUCUGUUUGUCCAGAGCCAUCCAUAAUUAGGGUGCUUGAUAGAGAUGUUAUUGUUUCAGCAGGCCCAGGUGCUAUUACUCUUACAAGCCCAAGGCCAUUCAAAGUUUAUAUUAGAAGAAGGAAGGAAGGAAGAGACAAGGAGAGUACUACACAGCUGGAAAUGGACGUUGGAGAGAAAUA